UCAGUGAAUCAUCGAAUCUUUGAACGCACAUUGCGCCCUAUGGUAUUCCGUAGGGCAUGCCUGUUCGAGCGUCAU
rnacentral:rRNA from 1 species